AUUGAACGCUGGCGGCAGGCCUAACACAUGCAAGUCGAACGAGUGGCGGACGUGUGAGUAGUGUCGGGGAAACUCCCCGGUGGAGGGGGAUAACUACUGGAAACGGUAGCUUAUCCCGCAAACCAACGUAUGUGCCCAUGUGGGAUUAGCUUGGAGGUGGGGUAAAGGCUCACCUAGGCGACGAUCCCUAGCUGGUCUGAGAGGAUGACCAGCCACACUGGAACUGAGACACGGUCCAGACUCCUACGGGAGGCAGCAGUGGGGAAUAUUGCACAAUGGGCGCAAGCCUGAUGCAGCCAUGCCGCGUGUGUGAAGAAGGCCUUCGGGUUGUAAAGUACUUUCAGCGGGGAGGCGUUACCCGCAGAAGAAGCACCGGCUAACUCCGUGCCAGCAGCCGCGGUAAUAC
rnacentral:rRNA from 1 species